GGUCUGGUGGUCUAGUGGUAUGAUUCUCGCUUAGGGUUAACCCUAUAGCUUUGUUUGCGAGAGGUCCCGGGUUCAAUCCCCGGCCAGACCC
rnacentral:tRNA from 1 species